GUUUUGCGUUCUCCACGUUCCGUCGCGGGGCUGGCUGUUUGUCUGAUACCGAGGGCGCGGCUGAAAAGGCAACAAGGAGACAGACCGUUUCCCCCUUCUUCACCUCGCGCACAGCUACAAAUGCGACAAACAAGCGGGCACCACCAGUGGAGGUAAACAGAUCAUGCUGGGAUAACAUGCAGAUGGGCUGGCAGGUGUGAUGGGGAAUCUCCCUACGCCAUCCUUCCUGAGGACAGAAGAAGCUGCAAUCUCUUACCCUCUCUAGUGAACGCUAGAGGAUGGACAGACUGCGUUGCCGGGUACCAGUGAUGAAUCUUCGGAAAGCAAAUGAGGAUCUAACCAACAUUACUUCAUCCGUGAGACGCUUGGAUUUGAGGCAUUCAUGAUUUUCUCUUCUAUGAAUACUGUUGAUUAGUAGAAGACAGUACCAUCAUGCCAUGACAUCAUUUGAAGGGUGCAUGAUCCAUAUUGUGGAGUUGCACAUUGGACUGCUCAUCUAAUGCGCCUGGCACAGGCAGACAGCUGGUGCCUGAUUUCCCAGAGGGGUCACUGUUGUGCAGUGUGGCGGGCAAUACUCCAAAGACCAUCCAGCUGCUCUAUCUGUCUAUCAUUAUCUCCAAACGAUUACUGAUGACUGCGUAGGCCAUGUGAUUGACCAGACUGUGACAGACCAUGGCCACGUUUGACGCUGGGGUGCAGAGAGACCCGAAUGCCCUGCCGACUGACACUCCUCCCUCUCUUGGCACCCUGCAGAGCUGCCAGCCAGGGCCAGCCCUGUCUGCAUUCAACAAUAGGCCGCAGAACAGUGUCUCAACAGGAAGGGCUAAGUAACAUUAUUUACAUAAUAUAAUGUACAGCCCAUGCACACAUGCACCUGCGCACACGCACACACACACACACACACGCUUAUACUGAUGCAAACACACAGAUACACACCCAGGCACACGUGCACAUCAAUGUUCCUUUCUUCCUAUAGCACUGUGUACAUAUCACAAUUGUGAACAUGGUGCAAACCUUUGCAAACCCAUGAUUUUUAGUACAAGGAGAUAAAUGACAAUGUUAGGCACGCCUACACACUACCCACUUACACCCACAAUGCUAAUACUAAUGAAGAACACUGUGUAGAGAUCAUUAUGCAUCUCAAUCCUGUGUUUUCAAAUUGGCUAAAAUGUCAGGCCGCUAAAAGUGUUUUGACUGUUUUGUAGAGGAGAAAUAAAACAUCACUGCAAAGGCCAUAAUCUGUUCUGAUGAGACACGGGAGGUGGAACAAACCUCAGAGUAUAUGUGUGCUUUUACAUCUACAUGCAAAUUACUACAAUGUUUGUGUGUGUGUGUGUGUGUGUGUGUGUGUGUGUGUGUGUGUGUGUGCGCGUGCGUGUGUGUUUGUGAAUAUGCAGAAUUUAAGUGCUCGUCAGAUGUGUUUCCUCUGUUUUCACACAUUUCAAUCUGCAAGGCUUACCACUUACUACAGGUACAGUAUAGACCAACUCAUAUACACAUCAGAAACCAUUUAAAUUUAAUUCUGGUUGACAUGCAGAGACAUCCUGUUUUCAAUGGUUAACAUUACCUAAAAUACUUGAAAUGUCAAAAUGUCUAUUCUCUUGCUUCCAUAGGCCUAAUUAUAUAAAAUUGUUAUGAUAAAUCCAUCAUAAAGGGAAGACCCUCUGUUUUCUAUCAGUUAUUUGGGACCUUAUUUCUACUUUAUUUGAAUAAGAAAUUAAUGAAAUAAUUGACAAACAUUAGGAAAACAAAACUACUGCAUCUUAAUAUUGGAAGCAUUAGUCUGCAAAGUGAGUUGGUUAACAAAUUCUCCUCAUGCUUUACACAUUACUGUAAAGACAGAGAAGGCCC